rnacentral:rRNA from 1 species
GGCCUAACACAUGCAAGUCGAACGAAGGCUUCGGCCUUAGUGGCGCACGGGUGCGUAACGCGUGGGAAUCUGCCCCUUGGUUCGGAAUAACAGUUAGAAAUGACUGCUAAUACCGGAUAACGACGUAAGUCCAAAGAUUUAUCGCCGAGGGAUGAGCCCGCGUAGGAUUAGCUAGUUGGUGUGGUAAAGGCGCACCAAGGCGACGAUCCUUAGCUGGUCUGAGAGGAUGAUCAGCCACACUGGGACUGAGACACGGCCCAGACUCCUACGGGAGGCAGCAGUGGGGAAUAUUGGACAAUGGGCGAAAGCCUGAUCCAGCAAUGCCGCGUGAGUGAUGAAGGCCUUAGGGUUGUAAAGCUCUUUUACCCGGGAUGAUAAUGACAGUACCGGGAGAAUAAGCCCCGGCUAACUCCGUGCCAGCAGCCGCGGUAAU